rnacentral:rRNA from 1 species
GGAGGAUAGUCCCUUGUCCCCUAAAUAGGGACUAGAAUGGAUGGCUAAAUGAGGACAGAACUGUCUCUUGUGGUCUGGCCAAUGAAAUUGAUCUUCCAGUACAAAAGCUGGAAUAAAUACAUAAGACGAGAAGACCCUGUGGAGCUUCAAAACCAAAACCACUAAACAUGCUUCUUGGAUUUUUAGUUGGGGCGACUUUGGAGCAAAAAAAACCCUCCAAAAAUAAUUUUAUUAUCAAGACUAACAUAUCAAAAAUAAUUUUUAUAGACCCAGCAGUAUUUUAUAUUGUCUGAUCAAUGAACCAAGUUACCCCAGGGAUAACAGCGCCAUCCUCUUCUAGAGUUCUUAUCGACAAGAGGGUUUACGACCUCGAUGUUGGAUCAGGACACCCCUAUAGUGCAGCCGCUAUAAAAGGUUCGUUUGUUCAACGAUUAAAGUCCUACAUGAUCUGAGUUCAUUCCGUA